AGUCACAAGAGGCCCUGAGCUCUGUGGGCCCCAGGAGCCCCGGGAAAACCUGGGGGAGAAUGGGCAUCCCACCCCAGCACUUUCUAGGAAGAAGGGCAACAUUUUGAAGGGCUGGAAGUAGAGAAAGAAGGUUGCGGGUAGAAGACUCCAUACUUUCUGUGACGCCUAUUCCUUAGGAGAGCUUUUAUAUAACCAAAGAUAUUUUUGGACCAUGAAUUCGGAAAUUCUCGGAGCCACCCAUCAAUGCCUGAGCUUCAGUGAGUCCAUAUCCCAUGUCACCUACGGCAAAGGAGAAUCUGAGACUUCUGAAGAGUUUCUUGCUUCUUUCCUGUGGGGCAGUGACUCCACUUCCCAGCAGUAAUGGAAUAUCCUGAAUUAGCUACAUUAAUGUUAGAACCAUUUGGACCUCACCCAGGACUUCAACUACAUUGUGCUAAAGUUACAGAAUCCAAAUUUGGCAACUGCCUGCAUCUGAACAACAGAAGUUUCAACAUUCUGCCAACAGAGUAACUCCUGGACGACUGGCACAGAAGAAGGCACAAGGCAAAUACCCAUCUCUGUACACCCUGUGCUACUGUGUCAUGUGCUGCUCCAGGCAACUCCAAUGGAUUGGCCACCCUGGCCAAUGUGUUCUAGUAUGUUAGGUUUAUGUUCCCCUGCUUUCUACAAUCCUGUUCAAAGAGUUGCUGACUUAACCACAGAGAGAAUUCCAGAACAUGAGACACAGAAUAAACUUGAACAAUCAUAGUCCAUCCACUUCAUUUUCUCAUCGAAAACCAAAGGUCCAGUGAGGCUCUGGAACUCGACGCUGUAAAGGAGCGAAGGAGCAUCUAUACAGAACCUGGAUGCCUGUCUCCUUAUCCUAC
rnacentral:antisense_RNA from 1 species